CAGCCGCCGCAUGUCCAUUUCAACCGUCGCCGGGCCGCGGCGGACAGGGGACUGCAGCGAGAACUUCGGGGCCUUUCCAAAACCAUGUCCUGCCGCUCGAUUGCACUGACUGACUGACCUGAUUGCAGAGCCCGUUCUCAGCCUCCAGGUUCCGGUAAACGGACAACGCCGACACGCGAGAAUCGGCCAUAGUAGCCUGUGUGAGGGACAGGCCCUGGCAGGAACGGACCGAGCUGGUCCGUGACGACGUCAAAUCAAGUGAAGCCACACUACCCCAACCAGCAGAAGGGAAGCUGCACGAUCUAGAAGCUGGAGACUGAUAGUAGUGAAAGACUUCAGGAGGAAAAUCUGGAAGGCAAAGAGAUGGCUGGGACCAUUUCAAGUGCUCCUUACCACACAGACAGCUGUUAAGAUCGCCGAAAGAGCCACGUGGAUAUACACCAGCCAUUGUAAACGUGUAGCUGGGCCUGAAGAGACAUUGGACGACACCGGAACCAAGCAUAGGGAAACAAAGAAGUAAGGCCUGACGGAAACUCGGGGCAAGUAUUGUAAACAAACAGGAAAAAUGGAAAGGCAAAUCGACCUAACAGCAGACUUACAAGGCCAGUUAAACUACCAUUUCAACAGUCAAGGAAUGAGAAAAACAACUCCAUAACUCCAUAAAUGGAAAAGAACUCAAAUGUUCCAGGCUCCUAACCUUGCAGGUGUUGAUAAGAAGAAGCGAGUUAUAGUAUAAAAGGAAGAUGUGAAAGCCGUCAAGCGUCCCUUACAUGAGGAGUCUUGCCAAUGUAUUGGGUCCCAUUGCAGAGGUCUGAAAUAAACUUUUUCAUUGCUCUUGCCA